rnacentral:sRNA from 10 species
CGAAGUGUGAGGAGUGGAAAACGCUUCUUCCGGGUCGAAACAAGGACAGACUCCGGUCGUGCGUUUCACUU